GAUGAACGCUAGCGGCAGGCUUAAUACAUGCAAGUCGAACGGUAACAGGUUUAAAUUUCGGUUUGGACGCUGACGAGUGGCGCACGGGUGAGUAACGCGUACACAAUCUGCCUUUAAGCGGGGAAUACCCUAUGGAAACGUAGAUUAAUACCCCAUAGCAUCACGAAAACGCAUGUUUUUGUGAUUAAAGCUCCGGUGCUUAAAGAUGAGUGUGCGUCCUAUUAGCUAGAUGGUAAGGUAACGGCUUACCAUGGCAUCGAUAGGUAGGGGGCGUGAGAGCGUGAUCCCCCACACGGGUACUGAGACACGGACCCGACUCCUACGGGAGGCAGCAGUAAGGAAUAUUGGACAAUGGGCGAAAGCCUGAUCCAGCCAUGCCGCGUGCAGGAAGACUGCCCUAUGGGUUGUAAACUGCUUUUAUAUGGGAAGAAUUGCUUCGACGUGUCGGAGUUUGACGGUACC
rnacentral:rRNA from 1 species